rnacentral:lncRNA from 1 species
CUCUUCGCGUGGCUUGACGGGACGAGAGAGAGAGAAAAGGCGACUUGAGGUGUAGUCGGCCUCAAUGCUUUUUCAGAGGCGGUGGUGGUGACUGGAUGAAGCGAUGACCGGAGAAGGAGAUGAGCGCCGUCUUUUUUUCUAGAUCUGGCCGGAGACGGACUAGUGAUGACGGAGUGAACGACGGCAGGCUUUCUCGCCGCGAAUCUCAGGCCGCUCUUGCGUGGCUUGACGGGAUGAGAGAGAGAAGGGAUGACUUGAGGUGUAGUCGGCCUCCAUGCUUUUUCAGAGGCGGCGGCGGUGACUGGAGAAGGAAGCAGAUGCUCUUUAGUUUCCAGAUCUGAGAGUGAGCAGGGCGGUGCGACUUUGCGACACGAGACUGUUUGUUUUGCAUCUUUCGAUUUCUUGGCAGCAACGGGGAGAUGGAUUUGAUGUCGUCGUUCCGGCCGCCAUGUCCGACGAAAUGUGGAGCAGGCGGUGAGGGCUAGCUUUGGCCGAAUUGUAGAAUCUGAAGAUUUUCUUCUUUUUUACUCAGAUUUUGUUUUUCUUCUUCUGUAAUACUUUGUUCAAGUUCUUUUUCGUAUGGAUUUCCUAAUCUUCAAGUUUCGAAACAAUGUUGAGUAACGUUCAUUUGAUUUUGAAUGAGAUAAGAGUCUCGAAUUUUUUUUUGUGUAGAUGAAUGUUGGAUGAACAUGUGUUCUUUGUAGAUUUCUGGAGUUUUUUGUUGGAUGUAGAUGAAUGUGAAUGAUGUUAUUUCUUG